UCGUCUCAGAUCGUUUCCAGGCACAACUGCUCAAUCUGCCGUGUGACUGCCAGGUGGCCAGCUUCAAUUUCAGACAGUUCAUGAGAUCAGCCAUAUUCUGAGGACUGAGGAGGAAUGAUUUCUACAAAUGAGCAGCGAUUAAAUGUUUUUCCAGAUCAUGAAUGUAAUAGUCAUUUUAUAGAAAUGUUACCUACUUUAAACACUUAUCUGCAGUUAUGUUCAAGCUUUCCCUACAAAACUUUACUGGUUUUCUUUUGCUGAAAUAAAUGUAUUUUACUACAAAAGCCAAA